AGAAUACAAGGGGCAAAAAUGUAGACAAAAUAUAUCUAGCUCUACGACAGAUAUCGGUGAGGUUGGUGGCCUCACGCUUAAAGUGUUUUCUGUUCAUAAUAUGAUGCUGGAAAACCCAUAAGGUUCAAUUAGAAUGUUCUUGUCACUCAUCCUAUAAGUGCUAGUAAUGGAAAAUUCUGAGGUUGACGGGUCAGCCCUUUAAGUACCAUGAGUUUCAAUGAUUCUGAAAAAGUACUGCUUAAUUCAAAUAGCUUUGGUAU
rnacentral:misc_RNA from 1 species